GGCCAGCCCUUCCUCUGAGUAACACAAAAGUGCAGAAAGGAGACCAGCAGUGUCUUGGGAGUCUGGUGUGGUGGGCACACAGGUGCAUCUUGUAGGGUGCUGGAGACCCCCCUGCCUUCAUCUUGAUGGUGAACUCACAGGGACAUCCAUACUUACAGUUCAACCAUCACACUUAGGAUUUGUUCUCAUUUUUAAAAACUAAAAUGAAAAUAUUAAAAACAUCCAAUAGUGCUUGCAGAAAAUGGGGAAAGCUGACUUUCUUACUGCUUUGUCUGGAUUAUCCAAUAACAAGAGUACACUAUGAAAAGUAUUGAUAACCUCACCAUCAGAUCAAGCCUCUCUUAUCUCCUACAAAGCAGCUGCUCUCUGGCUUUUGAGCUCCCACAGAUAAUGUGUAUAACAUAUCUCAAGCAUAUCAGAAGUACUUGGCAUAUGUCAUUGAUAAAUGUGCCAGGCUAUGCCUACCAAGACGGCGAUGUUCCGAUGACAGCCGGACAGCUUACCUGUUCCAGAACGUCCAACUUUAACUCGAGUUUGCUGAGAACCACGUCCCCACCCCAUAGUGAAAGCUGGAGAUCUGAAGGCUUUAAGUUCUUGAUAUAGCGAUUCACAUAACUCAUCAAAAUUGGAGUUACGUACGACUCCAGCAUCUUCCAAAUUAAGCGUCAAAGUCAGAUCCUGAAAAGGGUAAAGACGGAAAUUUUGUAAGUAACUGAAUCGACAGGCAGCAACUGGAAACGCACUUCUCGGGAAGCCUGGCAAGGCCGACGGGCGGCCGCAGGCUUCUCCCGGAUCGCCCGCUCUCCCGGGGCCGGCCGCCAGCUCCCCGCUAACUGAGCGCCUCACCUGCCGCGGAGUGGGCAGAGAAGCUGGAGGCGGCCGGCCCCGGGCGUGGGAGGAUAGCACGUCCCGCUUCACUCCUACCCUAGCGCAGCCCAGCCAGAGGCGGUCGACUCCCGGAACGCAGGCGGAUCUCGGGCCAUAGGACGGAGCCGGCGUCAGGCCCGCCGCCGCCGCCCCCGCUCCAAGCACCCCAUUCAGAGGAUGGAGCCUGAUUCUUAUGUGUGAAUGUAUUGGAUGUAUUUAAUGACUCACUUCUAAAAAUACACUGUGGCAGAAAUGACAGUGUGUGGCUUCUUCAAGUAAGAUGUGAGAGGUACUGCUGAUAUGGUAGGAUUUGCUCUGAAGGAAGCCAGCUGCUGAUUGUGACACUCGGCUACCCAGUGGGCAAGGCCCCAUGGUGAGAAGCAGCUUCUCAGCUUGAGGUUUGCUUCUUCAGAUGCUGAAUCUUUAGCUGUGCUUGGCCACCUCAGAAAAAACCUGAGCCAGAACCUCCUCUUCACCGUAGCAGGGAGAGUGCCCCUGAAUUUGAGAACUGUAUUAGAAACUACAAGAUAAUAAAUACUUGGUUUUAGCC